rnacentral:rRNA from 1 species
AACGAACGCUGGCGGCAUGCCUAACACAUGCAAGUCGAACGAAGGCUUCGGCCUUAGUGGCGCACGGGUGAGUAACGCGUGGGAAACUGCCUAUUGGUGGGGAAUAAUGACGGGAAACUGUCGCUAAUACCGCAUAAGCCCUUCGGGGGAAAGAUUUAUCGCCGAUAGAUGUGCCCGCGCCCGAUUAGCUAGUUGGUGAGGUAAUGGCUCACCAAGGCGACGAUCGGUAGCUGGUCUGAGAGGAUGAUCAGCCACACUGGGACUGAGACACGGCCCAGACUCCUACGGGAGGCAGCAGUGGGGAAUACUGGACAAUGGGCGAAAGCCUGAUCCAGCAAUGCCGCGUGAGUGAUGAAGGCCUUAGGGUUGUAAAGCUCUUUCGGGUGGGACGAUGAUGACGGUACCACCAGAAGAAGCCCCGGCUAACUUCGUGCCAGCCGCCGCCGUAA